GCCAGCUUCUGGUAUUUUCGACACGUCUGCGGCGACCCCGUUAAGUUCGCUUUUGGACGUUGGACGUCGGAGGUAGAGGUUGUGAGUCCGCCGUUCAGGAGAAGCAGCGAAAAGCCUCUCUCCGUCCUUAACUUGAGAAGGAAGGCGUCCGUUGGGCCUUUCUCUCCUUGAGUGAGGCGUCGACGGCCCGUGGAACUGAGUUCUCGGGCAGGGGUCGUCAAAGCAAAGGAAGCUCGGAAGCUGCCGUCCGAGAUGUCCAGCUACGUGAACGACCUGUGGCCGGGCUCGCCGCACAAGGCCUCCCCCUCGUCGUCGCGGUCGGGCCCGUCCAGCCGGCUGUCCUCGGCGUCCGGGAGCCGCUCUCCCCCGAGCUCUCCGUCCCGAUCCAUCGUCUCGACUCGGUCGUGGUCGCGGAGCCGCAGCCGCAGCCCGCCCCGGCGGAGGAGCAGGUCGAGGUCUCGCUCCCGAAGGCGCCACCGGAGGAGGUACCGGCGCUACUCGCGCUCGUACUCGCGGAGCCGCUCGUACUCGCGGAGCCGCUCGCGCCCCCGCAGCCGCCGGUAUCGGGAGAGGCACCACGGCCCCUCCAGGAGGUCCUACCGGUCCCUCAGCCGCCCCCGCUCCCGAGGCCGCUCGCCUUACCGGAGGGCCUACGCCUUCGCGCGGGACCGCCCGUACUACGGCUUCGGCCGCACCGUCUACCCGGAGGAGCGCAGAGGCUGGAGGGGGCGAUCCCGGACCAGGUCGCGCAGCCCAACCCCAUUUCGUCUGAGUGAGAAGGAUCGAAUGGAGCUGUUAGAAAUAGCAAAAGCCAAUGCCGCAAAAGCAUUAGGAACAGCCAACUUUGACUUGCCAGCCAGUCUCAGAACUGUUUCUGUAUCUAAAGAAACCAACCGUGGAACAGCUGUACUGAAUGAUGGUGCAAAGUCUGAGGUAAGUGUUUUAGAUUUAUCCAAACAAAAUCUUCAGGAAACUACUACCAGAAAGAUCUGAUUAGCCAUUUUUAUUUGAUUUGCCUUAGACUGCUUCCUGGAAAGGCUAGCUAAAUAUAAUUUAAAAUGACAGAUCUGACAAUACUAGAUAGUCUCCCCCCGUGAAAAUGGGAGACUAAUGAACUUUAUUUUCAGUUGACACAGUACUAAUUACUUUCAUAAUUGUAGCUGGUACUUUGGUGAUUUCUAUGUAGUUACCAAGUUUUUCUAGCUAGUUUUUUACGGAGUAUUUAUCUGUAGCGCUCAUUUGCAGCAUUAUGUUCCCACAAGUUCCGUACUCAACAUACAGUAUAGUUUAUCUGCUUUAUUUCUGUCUUAUAGAAAUCAUGAAUGUGGUCUCCAGACAUUGAUGAAGAAAAUCUGUUGAUGUUUUGAGAGAUUACAGAAGAAGAGGCCUGCUUCACUUGCAGAUAAGUUUAUUACAAUUCUCCAGAAAUGUGCAGCAUAAAAUUCAUAGCUUAAAGUUUUAAGGUAGUUAGGAAUUGAUAACAUUGAGUUAACAUAGGGAAGAUGGGUUAUCUCCUGUCAUUCAGAUCCAGAUGUGGGUUUGCCUAAGUAUUAGUGGUGGACAAGAAAGAUCUUAGUUCAGUCGCUUUUUCAGACGGUUAGGUUCCCAACUGGAUGGGCAAAUGCCUUAGUUCUUUGAAACUAGGUGUUUUCUGGUAUGACUUGACUUUCAAAGUUACUUGAAUUUGCAUCAGGGGGAUACAAUACUCCUUUAUGGGGAAGAGUGUCUUAAGCCUAUCAUUGAAUCACUUUUGUUAUGGGGAAAACUCAACAGAGUACUAUGUUAUUUAUUUUAGGAUGUUAACUAUUUGGUUACAUCCAACUUGAUUUGUGUCUCUACCAGUGAAUUUGUAAUACAGUUGGGCUGCUUUUUAUACCUACAAGGGUAUGGUUUUUUAAAAUUUACUUUCUCUUACCUGUCUAGCUGUCGGAUAAGUUAAUAGAAGAUGAAACAGAAAAUCCCAAUGAGAAGUCUUCCCAGCAAAAAAGCAUAGCUUUUAGCUCUAAUAAUUCUGUAGCAAAGCCAUUGCUUCAGAAAUCAGCUAAAGCUACUGCUGAAGAGACCUCUUCAGGAUCCCCAAAAAUAGAUAAGAAGAAAAGUCCAUAUGGACUGUGGAUACCUGUCGAAAAGAACAUCAAUAGCUAAGGUUGCCUGAAAUGCAUUUUUUUUUUU